CCACCGCAGCCCUCCCUCGCCGCUCCCCGCCACCGCAGCCCGCCCCUGCGCCCGUCCCUCCACCAUUCCAAGCCGCGGCGCCGCCCCCUCCCCGCGGCCCUCCCGGCCACCGCGGCCCUCCCGGCCACCACGGCGUACCCCGUGGCCCUCCCUGCCACCGCAGCCCGCCCCUCCACCGAGCCAGGCCGCCACCACCGCGCACUCUAUUUCCUCCCACCAUCGCGCACUCUGUUUCCUCCCACCGUGCACCCCGUUUCCUCGGACCGCGCACACCGCACCGUAGGUCAAAAACUUGCUUUUUUAGGCGCCGUCGACGAGCUUCUGGGUGGCGGAGGAUGGAUCCGCGUGCACCGAAGCUAGAUCCGCACGUGUCGACAUUGUAGCAGCGGAGCAGGGCCAUAGCAGCGCCGUCCUCCUCCAUGACCACACAGCCGCGUCGGCGGAGGACCCAAAUCCCUAGCCAGCGAGCUCAGGCAGCCAUGGAUCCGUGGUCGAUGCCAUGGAAGAUCCACCAACAGCAGUAGCUAAGAUAUGGACAUGCAGGCCGCUGCCCUCCCUGAUGCAUCAUGCGUGCUGCCCUCCCUAACCACCGCUUCUCGGACUCUACUUCUUCCUUGGUCACCAUGGAAGGUGGAGUGUUGUUGAGGUCUGGGAGAACCAUCUUCUACAAGCGAGACAACAAGGCCGUUGUCAAUGGAGAAGGAACAUGCUCAGGAGAAGAAGGAGCACGCCCAGGAGAACAAGAAGGAGCAGGAUAAGGCCCUCAGGACCUGGGACCGCUAUUGCUGGACCUGGGACCUAGGAUUGCUGCUGGACCUGGGAACUGGGAUCGCUGUUGCUGUGUGCCUCCUUGGCACCCCUGGAUCUGGGAUCGCUUCUGGAGACAAGGACCUGGGAUCGCUGCUGGAGGCGAGGACCUGGGAGCGCCUAGGACCUGGGCGCAUGGAGGAGAAGCAGGGGCAGGCGGAGGAGAAGCAGGGGCGGGCGGGCGGGCCGACGAUGGCCUGGAGGAUGGAGGAAGAAGACGACGGGGAUACGGAUUCAAACUAGGGGCAACAAUGUAAAUUCCACCGUUUUCACCCGUUCGGAACGAAUCCUCCAGCGACUUACAUUUUGGAACGGAGGGAGUAGGGAGGUUGCAUUGCCCGGAGGAAAGGCAGAGGAGGGUGAUGCUGAUGAUGCAGCAACAUCAUUAAGGGAGGCAAAGGAGGAGAUUGGGCUUAAUCCAGCCUUGGUCACUGUCGUUUCCUCACUUGAGCACUUCUUGCCCAAGUUGUUUCAUCGCUGUGAGGGUCUGGUGUUCAACGACCUCCCCGUGCGUUCGACGAGCUCCGCCCCUGCGUUCGUGGGCUGCUAUUGAGGCAGAGAGAGCGAAGACCCAGGCUGCUUUUGAGGAGAGGGACCGGCAGUUGGCGGAGAGGGACCGGCAGGCGGCGGAGAGGGACAGGGAGAAUGAGGAGAGGACGGCUAGGCUAUUGGAGGAGGAGAGGAACCGGAACGACUCGGCUGACCGGGCCAUGUACGAUCUCUUCGUGUCCAUGUGCGAGAAGAACGGCCAGACCCCUCCGCCGAUGCCAGUCAUUGCUCCGGCGGGCACGGUGAGUUUCAUUUGAAUGGUCAUUAGUUACUAGUCUUCACAUUUGAGUUGCAUCAUGCUAACGAUACAUUGGAAAUAAUCUUUGGUGCAACAUAACUCCCAACAAGCAUCGACCGAUCCUUCUCCGUCUGCCACUGGCGCGACCGGUCCUACACCUACACCUCCGUGAUGACGAUUUGCUUAAGAUCAUGGAAGCUUGGGUUGAUGGAGUGCUUGUAUUUAGUUUUUGUUUUGACCUUAUGAAACUUGCUACCUAUGGAUGAAACUGUGUAAUAUUGAUG